rnacentral:rRNA from 1 species
AGCGAACGCUGGCGGCGUGCCUAACACAUGCAAGUCGAACGUGAAAGGGAGCAAUCCCAAGUAAAGUGGCGUACGGGUGAGUAACACGUAGGUAAUCUACCCCAGAAUCUGGAAUAACCGGCCGAAAGGCUGGCUAAUACUGGAUAGAGCGACGGAAUCCGUAAUUGGGUUUUUCGGGAAAGGGAGCCUGUAAAAAGGCCUUCGUUCUGGGAUGAGCCUGCGUCCCAUCAGCUAGUUGGUGAGGUAAAAGCUUACCAAGGCAAUGACGGGUAGCUGGUCUGAGAGGACGAGCAGCCACACUGGCACUGAAACCCGGUCCAGACUCCCUCGGGAGGCAGCAGUGGGGCAUCUUGCGCAAUGGGCGAAAGUCUGUCGCAGCAACGCCGCGUGCGUGAAGAAGGCCUUCGGGUUGUAAAGCUCUGUCGAGUGGGACGAAAAUGCUUGGAGUUCACAGCUCCAGGAACUGACGGUACCACUAAAGGAAGCACCGGCUAACUCCGUG